CUGGCUUGAGGGCAGAGGUCAUGUGAAGAUUGAACGAAUAAAGGAAGCAGAACUAAGUGCAUAUCGCACACAGUUGAUGUGAGCCAAGUCCCGUAUGAGAGUAAAAACAGCUAGAGCCAAGGACACAUUGUCCUUGGCUCCAAGGUGUUAUCAAUGAUUAGUCCUGGGAACUUGCGGGUGAUGUAAUGCAGAAGUUGCUGGGUAAACCAAAUUGCUGUUACCAAUAAGGAGCUCAGCUUUUGCAAUAUGUAUGAGCCUGAUUAGUCCUGUGCUAUAUAAAGAAAGACCACACCUAAUAAAGUUGAAGUACACUGAUCACUCAUAUUGAGCGUCUGGGUCUUCCCUCCGUCGGCUCCUCCCGUGCAAGUUUCCAACAAAUGGCGCCCGAACAGGGACCCUGCCGGUCAGGGACUCGGUGAUUAAAAACUCAGGAGUCGACAGAGUGCUAGAGACAGCUGGUCCUGCUGUGCUAAAGGCGACGAGACACAAAAGGGGGUCUACGUGCCAGAGCUACAGAGGAGGUGGAGAGGACACAAACAAAGGGGGUCCGUGCCCAGGACGAGACGGGGUCCUGCCAGAAAGUCUCGCCGCAGGUCUUGCAAAGGUUGCAACGGACCGGUUUGGGUUCCCAGCAGAUUUACGAAACCUGUGAUAGACGAAGGAGCGACUGUGGACAAAGACUAUGCUCGGAAUCGGACAGACAACUCUGCGCAAAAUUGUCCUAUUGAUCAUGAUAAUUGCUGAAGGGUCUACAAUGUUGUCUCAGAUUGAUAUUCAACAGAAUAUGUGGGUUACAUGGGCUAACGAAACUAACCAGCGUACCUUUUGUUUGUCUCUAGCCUCAGGAAGUGAUCCCUUCCGGACGUGUCUGUUUGGGGUGCCUAUAGGAACUCCAAAGGAAUUGGUCAAGCUGUUAGGCCCGUACUCAACUUCGCUUACUCUCUUAAGUGGGUCCUUCUCGAGCAACCUCUCAGACGGAGUGGUUGCUGCACUGCAACAUCUUAAUAUAUCGUUGCCAUGGGAUCCACAAGAAUUAGAUUUGUUAGGGUCAGUAGCAGUAGGAAACACUAGUGAUAAUUGGACACAAACCUGUUUUAUACUAAAUAAAGGUAAACAAAAUAAGACUCA